GUGAUUGCCUCUGAUUGGGCAAAGCUGCAGACUGUCUUCCCAAAUAGUCUGCAACUUUGCCUGAUCCGAGACAGUCAC
ensembl:miRNA